rnacentral:rRNA from 1 species
AUACAUGCAAGUCGAACGCGUCUUGGUUAAUGAUGUUAGGUGCUUGCAUUUAACUGAUUUAACAUUGAGACGAGUGGCGAACUGGUGAGUAACACGUGGGUAACCUGCCCUGAAGUGGGGGAUAACACUUGGAAACAGGUGCUAAUACCGCAUAACAACGAAAACCACAUGGUUUUCGUUUGAAAGAUGGCUUCGGCUGUCACUUUUGGAUGGACCCGCGGCGUAUUAGCUUGUUGGUGAGGUAACGGCUCACCAAGGCCAUGAUACGUAGCCGACCUGAGAGGGUAAUCGGCCACAUUGGGACUGAGACACGGCCCAAACUCCUACGGGAGGCAGCAGUAGGGAAUCUUCCACAAUGGACGAAAGUCUGAUGGAGCAACGCCGCGUGAGUGAUGAAGGGUUUCGGCUCGUAAAACUCUGUUGUUGGAGAAGAACAGGUGAUAGAGUAACUGUUAUCAUCUUGACGGUAUCCAACCAGAAAGCCACGGCUAACUACGUGCCAGCAGCCGCGGUAAUACGUAGGUGGCAAGCGUUGUCCGGAUUUAUUGGGCGUAAAGCGAGCGCAGGCGGUUUUUUAGGUCUGAUGUGAAAGCCUUCGGCUUAACCGGAGAAGGGCAUCGGAAACCGGGAGACUUGAGUGCAGAAGAGGACAGUGGAACUCCAUGUGUAGCGGUGAAAUGCGUAGAUAUAUGGAAGAACACCAGUGGCGAAGGCGGCUGUCUGGUCUGUAACUGACGCUGAG